rnacentral:rRNA from 1 species
UACGGGGGGGGUAAGCGUUGUUCGGAAUUACUAGGCGUAAAGGGCUCGUAGGCGGCCAACUAAGUCAUACGUGAAAUCCCUCAGCUUAACUGGGGAACUGCGUGUGAUACUGGAUGGCUUGGAUUUGGGAGAGGGAUGCGGAAUUCCAGGUGUAGCGGUGAAGUGCGUAGAUAUCUGGAGGAACACCGGUGGCGAAGGCGGCAUCCUGGACCAAUAUUGACGCUGAGGAGCGAAAGCCAGGGGAGCAAACGGG